rnacentral:misc_RNA from 1 species
GACGUAGGAUGCAAGCGUUGUCCGGAAUUAUUGGGCGUAAAGAGUUCGUAGGUGGUGUCUUAAGUCUGAUGUUAAAGACCGGAGCUCAACUCCGGCAUGGCAUCGGAAACUGGGACGCUAGAGUGCGGAAGAGGUAACUGGAAUUCCAGGUGUAGCGGUGAAAUGCGUAGAUAUCUGGAGGAACACCAGUGGCGAAAGCGAGUUACUGGUCCGCAACUGACGCUGAGGAACGAGAGCUAGGGUAGCAAAAGGG